rnacentral:rRNA from 1 species
GAUGAACGCUGGCGGCGUGCCUAAUACAUGCAAGUCGAGCGAACAGACGAGGAGCUUGCUCCUCUGACGUUAGCGGCGGACGGGUGAGUAACACGUGGAUAACCUACCUAUAAGACUGGGAUAACUUCGGGAAACCGGAGCUAAUACCGGAUAAUAUAUUGAACCGCAUGAAUCAAUAGUGAAAGACGGUUUUGCUGUCACUUAUAGAUGGAUCCGCGCCGCAUUAGCUAGUUGGUAAGGUAACGGCUUACCAAGGCAACGAUGCGUAGCCGACCUGAGAGGGUGAUCAGCCACACUGGAACUGAGACACGGUCCAGACUCCUACGGGAGGCAGCAGUAGGGAAUAUUCCGCAAUGGGCGCAAGCCUGACGGAGCAACGCCGCGUGAGUGAUGAAGGUCUUCGGAUCGUAAAACUCUGUUAUUAGGGAAGAACAAAUGUGUAAGUAACUAUGCACGUCUUGACGGUACCUAAUCAGAAAGCCACGGCUAACUACGUG